UACGUAGGUGGCAAGCGUUGUCCGGAAUUAUUGGGCGUAAAGCGCGCGCAGGUGGUUUCUUAAGUCUGAUGUGAAAGCCCACGGCUUAACCGUGGAGGGUCAUUGGAAACUGGGAGACUUGAGUGCAGAAGAGGAAAGUGGAAUUCCAAGUGUAGCGGUGAAAUGCGUAGAGAUUUGGAGGAACACCAGUGGCGAAGGCGACUUUCUGGUCUGCAACUGACGCUGAGGCGCGAAAGCAUGGGGAGCAAACAGGAUUAGAUACCCUGGUAGUCCAUGCCGUAAACGAUGAGUGCUAAGUGUUAGGGGGUUUCCGCCCCUUAGUGCUGCAGCUAACGCAUUAAGCACUCCGCCUGGGGAGUACGACCGCAAGGUUGAA
rnacentral:rRNA from 1 species